UUUAUGCAUUAUUUAACUAUUGAUGCUUGCAAAUCAUUUUUUUCAGCAAAGCACACAGUGAUUUGUAGGGAAUGAGCUAGUCUAAAAUAAUAGACGUGUUAUACGGGAUUCUUCCAAUCCCUAACGUCUAAACGGGAAUGUGCAAAAAACGGGGGUGUUUUAAAAAUAUUGAAAUUGUUUUAAGUAAAGUAUUUUAUGGUUGAAAUUGAUCAUAAAGAGUUAUAUUCAUAUUUUACCAUGUAAGUGAAAUGUUAUUUUGCACUAAACAAGCAUUUAGUGCAUUAAAACAAGUUGUUUACCUUUCCAAUUAAACGAAAGCUGACUGACACAGACAACAAUUAUGCGAAGGGGAACAACUCGAUACAAUCGUAAUAGCUCGGCCUCCUCCGACAAAGCUUCGAGAUAGACCUCGUUAUACAAUCGUAACAACUCGGCCAUGGCCGAAAUGUUCCGAGCGAUUUAAAACUGUGCCCUAAAGCCUUGCAGGUGCCCUUCAUGUAUAUAUCGUUAUGUUUUGACAGAAUGAAAUGAAAAAAAGCCGUCAAACUCAUAAUUAUAAGUUGGAUAUUUAUUUUUUUGUGUACGGAACUAAUAUAAAAUAACAUUAUCUGGAGUUGGUCAUGGACCUUUGCCGCCCUUCAUCCAGAGCCUUCCACAGAGAUGGCAGAUAUAUCGCUGCCUGGACCAACAGUUGACCAUGCCGUUGAGUCCAUGAAAACAUCUACAGAAUUACAUCUGCGGCCGUGGCUAUUAAUGGAUACAUUCUGCACCACUUCCAUGUGCUGUCAGUUUGAAACGUCUCUACUCUGACAGAAGGAAGGGAAUGAAUACCCAGGAUUGUUCCUCAGGAAAAUCUCUUCAACAAGCUGUUGUCAGUUUGCAUGCUCUUUGGAUGGAAUUACCCUACCUUGGCUUGCAGAGAAUCUGUGAUAUAAAAGACCUCUUUUGUGCUGCAUUGUGUCAUUGAUUUAUUGUAUUUUAUAUGUAUUAUGCCACUAUUGUAAAAACAAAUGGGCAUAUGUUUUAGCAUAUGUUUUCAAACAGACACAUUUAUAUUUCAAACAGACACAUUUAUAUUUUUGAAUAAUUUGAAAAUACAUUUUGUAGGUUGACUUCACACCAUGAAACAUUAAUGGUAGGUUAUAUUUGACCAGAACAUGACAAGUAUUGUUUUCGGAGUUUUUUGGUCGAAGGUGAAGGUAAUGGCUAACAGUGGUUAUUCUGCACAAUGAACCUUGAAUUCUUUGACCUAGGACCAUUAAUAUUUAGUGAUUGAUAUAUCAGUCCAACUCAUAUGUGAAAGGGACAUGAUGAAAUUGAGCAAGAGCUUAUUAGCAUUGCAAAUUAUUAUUUGUUCAUUUUUAGCUCGACUAUUCGAAGAAUAGGUGGGCUAUACUAUCAUUAACAAUUCUGCGUUAAAGUUUUCAUUUUAUGUAAUAAAAUCAAGAGUUUUUAUCCAAUGGUAAUCAAACUUGGUCAGACUAUUUGUCGGCAUGUUAUCUUGAAGAUGUAUGAAUAUGGGUCAUCCCUGGUCAAAUUCUAGGUCACUAGGUCACAUCUUAGAGAAAAUAUUUCCAUGUCAUAAAUUCAACAUUUUUUUCAUAUCUUUAUGAAACUUGGUCAGAAUAUUUGUCUGCAUACUAUCUUGAAAGUUUUUUAAUAUGGGUCAUCCCGGGUCAAAUUCUAGGUCACUAGGUCAAAUCUUAGGAAAAUCAUUCCACAUCAUAAAUUGAAAUUUUUUUGUCAAAUCUUUAUGAAACUUGGUCAGAAUAUUUGUCUGCAUAAUAUCUUAAAAGUUUUAUAAUAUGGGUCAUCCCUGGUCAAAACCUAGGUCACAAGGUCAAAUUUUAGAAGAAAGAAUCCCACAGUCAUAAAAAUUCAUUAAUUUUAGUCAAAUCUUUUUUAAACUUGGUCAGAAUAUUUGUCUACAUGUUGUCUUAAUCAUUUGUGAAUAUAGGUCACCUCAGAUCAAAACUAGGUCACUAGGUCAAAUCUUAGGAAAUACUUUCCUGAUGUCAUAAAAAAAAUCUAUGCUUACCAAAGCUAUCCAUAUCAGUUAAUAACUAAAUUCAAUUGUUAUUUUAUAAACACACAUCCCAAUCAUGAAUUUCAGAUCUAACCAUAUUUUUCAAAAAUUUAAAUUUUAAUUAACUUUAAAAAUAUUUGAAAUCUUAGAUGAUAAAGUGUGUCAUCUAGGGUCAAAAACUAGGUCUCUGGGACAGAUCUUUUUGGAAAAGCUGAUGUAUUUAUAAAAUGUUCGUUUUUCCUCACACAAAUGGAAUAAUUUCUGUUGAUCAGGUUAUUUGUAUGAAUGAUAUCUCCGAUAAAUAUAAAUAUGGGUCUUUUUGGUUAAAAAUACUAGGUCAUUAGCUCAAAUCCUAGGUUUGCAAAAUUGCAUUGUCAAAUAAAAAAUCAAGCUUUAUGCGGCGUUGCCGCGUUGGCGUCUUGUUAUUUUUUUAUUUUGACAGGCACAUUUUUAUAAUCUUAACCAAAUCAAACCUUGUUUUGUCACAUUGUGAUUCUUAUUCACUUUUUUUAUUUGAUUGUUUUAUUGCUUUUUACAGGCACAUAUCACACUAUUAUUGUAUUUACGUCCAAUUCCAAGAGGCGUAGUAGAGCGCACUGUUUUACGACAGCUCUUGUUAACCUGUAAAGUGAAACCUGGUUAUAAAAAUGACAUGACUGUGUCAUUGUGUUGGCAGGCCAGGAGGAGGGCAGCAUCAAAUACAUCUACAAACUUAGUAUACAAAGUAUUAUAGAAUUGCUUUCGGGGCCCAUAGGAUCAAGGUCACUAAAACAAAAGAAUAUUGAAACUUAAUCGCACAACAAAGGCUUAAUUAAUUAGGUUUGUCUGUCAAUCAUUGAAAACUUGUUGUUUUUUUUGCAUUGCAGCAUUUCAUGCUUAAUUUUUAUUUUGUCUCUUUAUUGCAUAUUACCUUUAUCAUUAUUGUAUUCAUUUCUAAGACAAAGCAGCAUAUAGUUGAGGGCACUGCCCCAUGACAGCUCUUGUAUAUCCUAAAAAGAAUACAAUAGUGAUAUACCCUGAUAUAGGUAGUUUUGGUACAUUAUCACGGUUUUAAUUUUAGCUUUACUGGCCAAAGAUCAGAAUAUCUGAUGUGAUGGUAAUGUGUACGUAGUAUGUGCUUCCUAGUGCCUGUAAACAAUUGCUUGUGAACACCAUACAGUCUUUAGUUAUGAUUGUAUCUCAAUAAAACAGUAUUUAGAUAUCCAAUAGAGCUCGGUUCCUUUCGAAAACCAGUCAGAUCUGCCCAUGCAUGCCUAGAUUAUGGGCCUUGAACGUCUGUGCGACUGUAAACAAUUGCUUGUGAACAUGGUACAGUCUUCAGUUUAAAUUGUAUAUAGAUGAAACUUGUACAGUAUUAAGAUAUCAAUUAGAGCUUGGUUCCUUUCGAAAACCAGAUCUGCCCAUGCAUACCUAGAUUAUGGGCCUCAAAAGUAAAAAUAAAUGCUAUUUUUAGCCAAGUCUACAUGAGCGAAGUCUAUUUUUAGACAAGUUUACAUGUAAAGUCACAAAUUCAUGUGAAAAAUUGUUCAAAUUAGGCCCCUGGGGUCAUUAUUGGCCACGCCACUGGGUUCACCGGUUUGGUAUACUAAAUUGGGAAAUGUUUGAAAAUCUUUAUGUCUGAAACAACUAUGCAGACCCUUGUUAUUUUGAAUAAGGAUUAUUUUAUUGGUCUGCUACCAUGGUUGUUCAAAUUAUGCCCCUAGGGUCAAAACUGGCACUGCCCCCAGGGGUCACAAGUUUUUUAAGAAAUAUUUUCAAAAUCUUCUUGUUUCAAACCACAAGGCUCAUAUCUUUGAUAUUUGUUGUGGAGCAUUAUAUGUAGACUGUCUAGCAAAACAGUUGAAAUUAUGUGCCCUGGGCCGGGGCCACCAUCCAUUUAGUCCUUUUAAAGCUACAAAAAUGAAAAUUUGACCAAUAGUACAGUUUUGUAGCAAAUUUUAUUCUCCUCAGAUGACCUUUACUUGGCACAUAUUAGAAUACUAGUAGUUCAUGCAACUAAUCUGCUUACAACACUUUCUGUUCUCAGAUGUUAAAUGUGCAACGUUUUAAGCUAACUCAAACACAAAACGUGAACAAUAUGUUUGUUGGCUAUUACUCAUACAAACAUGCUCUGGAUCAAAAAUAACCACAUGAGCCAUGCCACUAGAGCAUAGGCACUCAUGGGCCUCUUGUUUUUUUUAGAAAAAAAGCAUACUGACCAACCCUAUUUAUUUUAGAAGUUAGCUGAAACUAAGAACUUUUUUUACCUUACUUUUAUAUUAGAUUGUGUAUUGCUAAGAUUUUUGCUUAAAGCUCCAUUUAAGGUAACUGUUCAUCUCAAAUGUAACAGCUUUUGCCUUCAAACUUUUAAAAUUUCAUUGAACCAGUGGGUUCAUCAUGAUGCACAUCUGUAAAUGUUUCUCCCUAAUAUGGGCUUUUAUGUAUGCAAACAGAACAUUGAACAAUUGGCUUUCUGUGUAAAGUAAACCCUGUCCAGAACAUUUGUCAAAUUGCUGUGUCAGCACUUGUUUGAAUGGAUUUAUUUUAUUUUCAUAUUAUGAUUUCAAAUAAAGUAUUUAAAAAUGUU